rnacentral:ncRNA from 1 species
GAAAGGGUGUGUUGUCAUAUGACAUGCCUGGGCUGGGAUAUCGGUGUAUUUCAUCGGUAGGACAAAGCUUCAAGGGUCCGCAGCCUCAAUUAGG